rnacentral:rRNA from 1 species
AUUGAACGCUGGCGGCAGGCCUAACACAUGCAAGUCGAGCGGAUAAAGGGAGCUUGCUCCUGGAUUCAGCGGCGGACGGGUGAGUAAUGCCUAGGAAUCUGCCUGGUAGUGGGGGAUAACGUCCGGAAACGGGCGCUAAUACCGCAUACGUCCUGAGGGAGAAAUUGGGGGAUCUUCGGACCUCACGCUAUCAUAUGAGCCUAGGUCGGAUUAGCUAGUUGGUGGGGUAAAGGCCUACCAAGGCGACGAUCCGUAACUGGUCUGAGAGGAUGAUCAGUCACACUGGAACUGAGACACGGUCCAGACUCCUACGGGAGGCAGCAGUGGGGAAUAUUGGACAAUGGGCGAAAGCCUGAUCCAGCCAUGCCGCGUGUGUGAAGAAGGUCUUCGGAUUGUAAAGCACUUUAAGUUGGGAGGAAGGGCAGUAAGUUAAUACCUUGCUGUUUUGACGUUACCAACAGAAUAAGCACCGGCUAACUUCGUG